AGAAUAGGAAAGUAUUUAAAAAUGGAGAGCUAACCUUAGGCAGCAUUACAACUUACAUAUGAGGUGCAAAGUCCUAUGGCUUACCUUCUAGUUGGUGCACUUCGUUAAGUAUCCUUCCUCAUAAACCAAAUCUAAUCUUGCAAAAGCUAUUAUCACUGCCUUUCCAAAGCUGCUUUUCUGGUGGAAAACUUGGAUAAGUGAGACUAUAAGAGACAUUUUAUUAAUUUUUUUCCUUUCUUUUUUUUUACCUCUCCAAGGCCGAAGGGGCAAUCGAGGAUUAUUAGUAGUAGAAGUAAACUUAUUAUUAUUUUUAUCUUCACAAUUUGUCACUUAUAUGUCAAGUUGUCUAUGAGGUAAUGAAAUCUAAUAAAAAAAAUCAUAUUUUUAGGAAAACUAUUAUCGCCCAUAUACAGAGUAUAUAGUAAGUAAUAAGAAAAAAAAGGUCACUCCUCAUGGUCACAUAGUCACAUGGUCACAUAGAAGACUGAAAACUAUGCGUAAGAAACUUGGUGUUCAUGUACAAGCUCGUCGAAAGAGAGUUACUGUUUUAGCAGAAGAGUUCUAAGCGUCAGCACCUUUCUCAAAAGAAGAACUAAGUAUGAUUGGAGAGUUGAGAUUUGACAACUUAGGCUAUGAAAGAAAAUUGGACUAUAUGGAAUAAACUUCGUGCUCUCGUCGAAAAAGGAUCAUAAAUUGUAAGCCUACAAUUGAUGAUUUACUCAAAACAUUUCCGCAACUAAAAGAUCUAGCAAUUCACUUUCAGAAAGAUUUCUAUUGCAAUUUCCCAGAAGUGAAUGAUUUUUUGGCUCAUUGGGAGAAAAUAACGCCACAUGUUAUCUCUUGAGCAAGGCGAAAGACAAAUUUGAUGGUGAACCAGAUUCUUGUUGAGCUUGAUAUGCAAGACAACCCAUCUAUAGGAACAGAAAUGGAUUUUGCAUUGUUAUUAUUCCCCUUUAUAAUUAAAGUACCAUCAAAGAAUAAAAGUUGUGCAUCAGCUGCUGAAGUUGCAGAGCAUUUUAUUCAAUUUUAUCCAGCUUCAACUCCGAUGGAAAUUGUCUUACUCACUAAGUCUUACUCACAAAUAAUUCUUACUCACAAGCAUCCGUUAGUCAUAGCUUUGGGUUCUCAUUGCAGUGUCGACCAAAUAUUUAUUGUUACAGAGUGUCGAGCUAUGUCAACAGAUGUAUAUCUUAUGCUGUAGACAUUUUAAUUUAACUUUAUUUUUUAAUGAACAUGGAGUAUGCGGAGCAAUGUAGCCACAUUUUGUACUUUUUGCAACAUACCGUGUUAGGCUGCCAAGAUGAAAUGCAUCUAUCGAGAGGAGCCAGUGACUUGUCUCUUUACCUCAAACAAAAACUUAAUCAACUUCAAAUGCUGAAACAGUUAUAUUUUGAUUAUAAUCAAGUUAUAUAUAAUUUGUUACAUUGUUAUUGCUAUAAGUUAUACUUUUAAACAUAUCGACUAUCUGAAAAUCAAAGAUCGUUUUUACGCCUAAACCGAGUUA